GCAAACUUGGUCAUUUAGAGGAAGUAAAAGUCGUAACAAGGUUUCCGUAGGUGAACCUGCGGAAGGAUCAUUAUUGAAUGAACUUGGCUUGGUUGUGCUGGUCCUUUCGAGGACAUGUGCAUGCCUUGUCAUCUUUAUCUAUCCACCUGUGCACCUUUUGUAGACUUGGUUAUAGUGAACGGGAGAGCAUGCUCUCCCUUGAAGCUAUGCUAGGCCUAUGUUUUUAUAUACCCCAAAGAAUGUAAUAGAAUGUAUUGUAUGGCCUAGUGCCUAUAAAUCAUAUACAACUUUCAGCAACGGAUCUCUUGGCUCUCGCAUCGAUGAAGAACGCAGC
rnacentral:misc_RNA from 1 species